rnacentral:lncRNA from 1 species
ACAGGGACACAAAUAAUUAAUUCAUAUCAAUAUUCCUAUUAUAAAACUUAUUUUCCUCCUUCAUUUUAAAGAAUUAAAUUUGGUAAAGCAAUCACAAAGCAUUGGGCCACUGAGUAAGACAGAAAAUAUGAAAAAUAAAAGUCCAAGAGCGAUGAAAACUAUAUUCUCUUUUUGUUUGUUUUUAUUUAUUCUUUUAAUACAAUACAUCCUGAACACAGCCUCCUUUUCCUUUGCUUCUUUCAGUCCCCACUGCAACCUCUCCUCUCUCCAAGAUCUACCAUUUCUUCAUGUCUAUUCAGAAAAGAGCAAGUUUACUAAGGAUAUCAACUCAAUACAGCAUAACAAGAUGCAAUAAGACUAGAAUGAAACCCUGAAAGCAAGGCUGGAGGAAGCAAAACAGUAGGAAUAAAUGGGUCCUAAGAGCAACCAAAAGUGUCAUAAAUACACCCCACUCCCACUUUUAGAAGUCACACACACCCAAGAAAAAAACAACCCGAAGCUGGACAAACAUUACACAUAUGCAGAGAACCUACCACAGCCUCAUAUAGGCUCUAUGAUUGGUGCUUCAGUCUCCAUAGCAGAGUUAACAAUUAUGCACCAGAAAUCAAUGAUUAGAAGUACCAAAAUAUCAUAUUGUUUCCUCCUAAUGAGAUAUGACCUCACUCUGUUAGCUAGAAUAGGUUUAAACUUGUGAGCUCAAGUGACCCUCCUUCCUCAACUUCCCAAGUAGAUGAGAUAGUAACAGAAGUGCCCACCCUCCUCAACUAAAAUACCAUUCUUGAAGUGCUCGCAGUAGAAGGUUUGUCUUGAUGGAGUUGAUGCUAUCUGUUAGAGAACUAAUAUAAUAGAAGACCUAAUUAAAGAUAAAAAGUUACAUGAACAAAAGAUAAUUUAUAGUAAUUAAAACUGUUCAUUUUCAAGAAGACAGUUUGAUUUUUAUAUUUCUUGAUUUAAACUGCUCUGUGGAAAGUGACAGAAAAAGUUUCGGCAUGCACUCAAAGAAUAUUAAAAGCACAGGGGCUAUUUCAUUUCAUGUCUCAAAGUUUGUCAUACUGGUAACCUCAUCUUUCACAAGUACAGGUUAUGCUCAACCAGAAUCCUACUGAAUCUAGAGAAAAAUCAAUAUUUCUUUUAAAAACUCCAAAGUGGUUUACUCACAGACAAGGCAUGAUAUUAACAGAACUAAAUAGGCUUGAUCUUGGAAUCAUUACUAGUUAAAAUAUAAUUGUAGAAUUAUCAUCUAACACAUGAUGAAAAGGUAAGAUUGUUUGUUAUACAUGACACACAAUGUAUAUGGGUGUGCAGUCAAAUAUAAAUUGAUUUAAAUGAGUGUUGGUUACCAAGCUCUGAUCUAACUCCUUUUACCUUUGUGAUAUUCCAAUAUCCUAAGAAAAGUAAAACAAAAC